GCUCUUUUCAUCGCGCCGCAUAACACUUAUAUGAACAGUGCCGUCUUUCGGGGCGGCUAUGGCAAUAAACGGGCGAUGGAAUAAACCUAUUGGACCCGGGGGCGGUACCCGGCGCCUCCACCAGAAACCGCUGAAAGCAUGGUCAUUGAGGAUCACUGCUGCGAGCGGCUUCUGAUGGGGGCGAAAUAGGAUCGACAAGGGUGUAAAGAUCGACUUUUUGCCCGGCAUGAUACCGCCGUUAUCGGGUCACAAGUGUAGUUGCAAACGACAACAACGCUAAGGGUUAUGCUCUCGCUGCUUAAUCGCGGUGCGGGAAAUCCGACCUAAGUCCUUUGGGUUAGCACCUUAAGGCGGGGUUCGGAGGUACCUGGCAACAGAAACCUCCACC
rnacentral:tmRNA from 1 species